rnacentral:rRNA from 1 species
AGAGUUUGAUCCUGGCUCAGAUUGAACGCUGGCGGCAUGCCUUACACAUGCAAGUCGAACGGCAGCACGGGUGCUUGCACCUGGUGGCGAGUGGCGAACGGGUGAGUAAUAUAUCGGAACGUACCCUAGAGUGGGGGAUAACGUAGCGAAAGUUACGCUAAUACCGCAUACGAUCUACGGAUGAAAGUGGGGGAUCGCAAGACCUCAUGCUCAUGGAGCGGCCGAUAUCUGAUUAGCUAGUUGGUGGGGUAAAAGCCUACCAAGGCGACGAUCAGUAGCUGGUCUGAGAGGACGACCAGCCACACUGGAACUGAGACACGGUCCAGACUCCUACGGGAGGCAGCAGUGGGGAAUUUUGGACAAUGGGGGCAACCCUGAUCCAGCAAUGCCGCGUGAGUGAAGAAGGCCUUCGGGUUGUAAAGCUCUUUUGUCAGGGAAGAAACGGGAUUUUCUAAUACAAAGUCCUAAUGACGGUACCUGAAGAAUAGGCACCGGCUAACUACGUGCCAGCAGCCGCGGUAAUACGUAGGGUGCAAGCGUUAAUCGGAAUUACUGGGCGUAAAGCGUGCGCAGGCGGUUGUGCAAGACAGAUGUGAAAUCCCCGGGCUCAACCUGGGAAUUGCAUUUGUGACUGCACGGCUAGAGUGUGUCAGAGGGGGGUAGAAUUCCACGUGUAGCAGUGAAAUGCGUAGAGAUGUGGAGGAAUACCGAUGGCGAAGGCAGCCCCCUGGGAUAACACUGACGCUCAUACACGAAAGCGUGGGGAGCAAACAGGAUUAGAUACCCUGGUAGUCCACGCCCUAAACGAUGUCUACUAGUUGUCGGGUCUUAAUUGACUUGGUAACGCAGCUAACGCGUGAAGUAGACCGCCUGGGGAGUACGGUCGCAAGAUUAAAACUCAAAGGAAUUGACGGGGACCCGCACAAGCGGUGGAUGAUGUGGAUUAAUUCGAUGCAACGCGAAAAACCUUACCUACCCUUGACAUGUACGGAACUUACCAGAGAUGGUUUGGUGCUCGAAAGAGAACCGUAACACAGGUGCUGCAUGGCUGUCGUCAGCUCGUGUCGUGAGAUGUUGGGUUAAGUCCCGCAACGAGCGCAACCCUUGUCAUUAGUUGCUACGAAAGGGCACUCUAAUGAGACUGCCGGUGACAAACCGGAGGAAGGUGGGGAUGACGUCAAGUCCUCAUGGCCCUUAUGGGUAGGGCUUCACACGUCAUACAAUGGUACAUACAGAGGGCCGCCAACCCGCGAGGGGGAGCUAAUCCCAGAAAGUGUAUCGUAGUCCGGAUUGUAGUCUGCAACUCGACUACAUGAAGUUGGAAUCGCUAGUAAUCGCGGAUCAGCAUGUCGCGGUGAAUACGUUCCCGGGUCUUGUACACACCGCCCGUCACACCAUGGGAGCGGGUUUCACCAGAAGUAGGUAGCCUAACCGCAAGGAGGGCGCUUACCACGGUGGGAUUCGUGACUGGGGUGAAGUCGUAACAAGGUA